rnacentral:rRNA from 1 species
GGUGCCUCGGGACGCAGCAGUGGGGAAUAUUGGGCAAUGGACGCAAGUCUGACCCAGCAACGCCGCGUGAAGGAAGAAGGCUUUCGGGUUGUAAACUUCUUUUAAGGGGGAAGAGCAGAAGACGGUACCCCUUGAAUAAGCCACGGCUAACUACGUGCCAGCAGCCGCGGUAAUACGUAGGUGGCAAGCGUUGUCCGGAUUUACUGGGUGUAAAGGGCGUGCAGCCGGAGAGGCAAGUCAGAUGUGAAAUCCGCGGUCUCAACUCGCGAACUGCAUUUGAAACUGCUUCCCUUGAGUAUCGGUGG